CCUACGGGAGGCAGCAGUGGGGGAUAUUGCACAAUGGGCGCAACCCUGAUCCAGCGACUCCGCGUGGGUGAAGAAGGCCCUCGGCGUGUAAAGCACUGUUAGCAGGGAAGAAAAUGACGGUACUUGAAGAAGAAGACGCGGCUAACAACGUGCGAGAAGCCGCGGGAAGACGUAGGGGGCAAGCGUUAGCCGGAUGUACUGGGUGGAAAGGGGGCGCAGACGGCGAUGCAAGCCAGGAGUGAAAGCCCGGGGCCCAACCCCGGGACAGCGCUUGGGACUGCGGGGCGGGAGUGCAGCAGAGGCAGGCGGAAUUCCUGGUGUAGCGGUGAAAUGCGUAGAUAUCAGGAAGAACACCGGUGGCGAAGGCGGCCUGCUGGACUGCAACUGACGUUGAGGCCCGAAAGCGUGGGGAGCAAACAGGAUUAGAUACCCUAGUAGUC
rnacentral:rRNA from 1 species